ACAUCUACUUUAUGUCACACUUGAACUCUACAUAUUACACUUGUGUUUCCUCUGUAAACAAGUCAUUAUGAUUCCACGGAGAAAGCCGGGGACUUACACGUCAGUUUCUUCUGUCAAAGUCUCAGGGUCUGAGGGACAGUCAGGGGACACCAGUAAUACAAGACCCACCUCAACCUCUGGGGGACAAGCUGGAAGCAGUAGCCACCAAAGGCCCCCUACUGGGGGACCAACAGGAGGUAUCAGUCACCCAAGAAUCCAUUUAAACAGUGGGGGCCAUGCAGGAGGGGCCAGUCAUCCAAAGUCCCCUACAAGUCCUACUGGCAAAUCAGCAAACGGAACAGAGGGGACUACAGGGAAGUCAUCUGAAAACGGGAAAGCCAGGCAACCUGUGAAGAAAUCGGACUCAUUUAUUAACUCAAGAAAUGUGUUCCAGAGUAUGUCAAAUGGCAAGCAAACAAGACCAGUACAAAAAUCUGAGUCUUUUUCAGAGUCAAGAAGAAAACUUUCAUCUUCCUCCUCUGCCAAAGGGGAUUCCACUGGACAAAGAAGGUCCAGCUCGUCCAAAACUGAAACAGGGCCCACCUCUACCAGAGUAGAAAGCCAUGGAUCAAAGAGACCACCAAACUCCACUUCUAGUUCAAGAUCAGGCAGUAUGUCAGAUUCCAGAUCCUCAAGUCUGACAGAAUCCCCUUUUGUACCCAAACAAUCCAUGGAGCCAUCUGAUGUGGUGCCAGGAGCAAGGGAUCACAGCGUGACAGACACCACAACACGGAGUGGACCGAUACAGCACCACUCACACUCUUCUGUGUCUGGCUCUUCUCAGCACCAUCCACACUCAUCUGUGAGUGGCUCCACCCAGCACCACCCUCAUACUUCUGUGAGUGGCCCCACACAACAUGGGACACACUCUGUCCAUUCUCAUGCAGUAAAUGGGACUGUGUCUAGUGGUGUUCCUGAGGACAAAGUCAAAGGGGGUUCACCCAGCAAGUUUACAGCACCAGAGCAAUCAGGAUAUGUGGGCUUUGCCAAUCUCCCCAACCAGGUUCACAGAAAGUCGGUCAAAAAAGGGUUCGAGUUCACACUUAUGGUGGUGGGUGAGUCUGGACUGGGGAAGUCUACAUUGGUCAACAGCCUAUUCCUGACAGACCUGUAUCCAGAGAGACACAUACACUCAGCUGCUGAGAAGAUUUCGCAGACGGUGAAGAUUGAUGCCUCUACCGUGGAGAUAGAGGAGCGUGGAGUCAAACUGAGGCUGACCGUGGUGGACACGCCGGGCUUUGGGGAUUCCCUCAACUCCCAGGACUGUUUUAAGCCCAUCAUCCAGUACAUAGACAGCCAGUUUGAACGGUACCUGGAGGACGAGAGUGGAUUAAACAGAAGACAUAUCGUGGAUAAUCGUGUUCAUUGCUGUUUCUACUUCAUAAACCCAUCAGGCCAUGGCUUACGUCCCCUCGACAUCUCAUUUAUGAAAGCAGUUCAUCACAAAGUAAACAUAGUCCCAGUCAUAGCCAAGUCUGACACGCUGACGCAGCAGGAAUGUAAACAACUAAAGAGGAAGGUGAUGACUCAGAUCGCUGAGAAUGGUAUUAACCUUUACGCACUCCCAGACUGCGAUGAGGACGAGGAUGAAGAAUAUCGAGAACAGUGUCGACUUCUUAAGGAGGCUGUGCCUUUUGCUGUCAUUGGUGCUAAUACUGUGAUAGAGGUCAAAGGUAAAAAGGUCAGAGGUCGUAUGUAUCCAUGGGGAGUGGUGGAGGUUGAAAAUCCAGAUCAUUGUGAUUUCAUCAAACUUAGAACCAUGCUCAUCACUCACAUGCAAGACUUACAAGAGGUCACCCAGGAGGUUCAUUAUGAAAACUUCCGAGCGGAGAAACUGGCAGGUGGUGGAUCUGUCCCCAAGAAAACAAGAAGACCUCGCAAUGAAGAAACUUACAAUGAAAUGACAGACAAACGUAGACCUGAGGGCCAGCAAGCUGAUUUGUCAGAUCGCGAGAAACAACUCCUAGAAAAGGAACAAGAGCUGAGGAGAAUGCAGGAAAUGAUUGCCAAGAUGCAGGCAGAGAUGAACCAGCGCAACACACCACAGAAAAUGCAGCAGAACGGAGAAGUCAAAUCACAGAAUGUGUAAAGUUUGGCAGGUAAAUCUAGAACUAAGAAUGUGUAAAUCUAGGACACAAAUGUGUAAAUCUAGCACACAAAAUGUGUAAAGUUUGGAAGGUAAAUCUAGAACACAAAAUGUGUAAAUUGUGGCAGGUAAAUCUAGAACACAGAAUGUGUAAAGUUUGGCAGGUGACCAUUUGAUAGGACCAGUAUUUGAAGAUGAGAUUGUCGUAUUUAUACUUAGCGACCUCAGACAAUCCACAGUAACAAACGCAAUGUUAUCACAUCAUUACACCAAAUCAUCAAAUUAAGUGUUCAGUUUGUGAUGUCUAACAUCCAUGCUACUUACAUUUUGUUAAUAAUUUGCAAAUGCUCUGCCCUGUGUGUUUAAAAGUAAGUGGACACAUGGUUUUAUAAUGUAAAAUCUUUUUUUUUUUUCUUUUCAAAUAUUGUUAAAAAAUAUUGUAUGGGAUGAUUUUUGUAUUCUGUGUGAAAUAGAAUAAAAAGAAACCUUAUUUUUGAAAGUAAAAGACUUUAGAUUGAGUGCUUACAUAGGCUAAGUAUUCUAGAUUUGAGCAUUUACAAACAUCCAAAGUCAUUGUUUUGUGUACGUGAGUAUAUGUUUUUUUAAUAAUAAAUUGUAUAAAUUUGCUGUACCAAAAUAUUGAAAUCAAAACCAGAAAGCUCUGCAGAAAGGGAGCUAACUUUUCUCUAGCCUGGUCUAGUCAUCUAACCACAAUCAGCAGUGACUUGUUAGAGUUAUCUACCUUUGUUGAUAAUGGUUGAUAAGUUCAUCUUUCCUGUAAAUUGAUAAUUUGAAUGUCUAACUUAGCUGGAUUAUUUUGUUGUAGUUCUUUUUUUUAAAUGUGUCCUUUGAUUUUCAUUCUUGGUGACAUAUAACUUUCAUGAGGACAUUUUUAAUAGCUGAUCUCCCAUGUAAAAUUCCCUCCCCCAUCCCCCAUGUAAGAUCUAAGAUGUAUUGAAUACACUAUAUGUUAGGAGUAAUUUUUUUUUUUUUUAUUGUUAUAUCAUUUGUGUAGUCUACAUAUAUGAUAUUACUUGUUUAUUUCUGUAGAUUUGAAAAAUUUACUGUAAACUUUAUGAACAAAAAAUAGAUCUGAAAUUGAAUUAAAGAGCAUAAUGGCCACACAACAUAAAGGAAAACUUUGUUUGCCAUCUUUUGAUUCAGUAAGGAGGAAAAAACAAACAUACACUGAGUUUAUAGAAUUAGUAUACAUUUUAUAAACAUCCUCCUUAUAUUGACUUUUUAGUGUCGUGUAUGAAUUGAAUCAAGGUAGAUUUUCCAUGAGAUACUGAUAUGAAGACAUCUUUAUUAUUCUGCUUUAAAGCUUAUUCUGCUGAAUUUUAUCCAACUUUGCAAUAAUUUUGUAAUAUUUUUAUUUAAUUUGUACAUGAAUAAAUUUAAUGUAUAUAAA